UCUAAUAUGGCAGAUAUAAUGCAAUGAAUUUAAAAUUCAUUUAUAAAAACUAUUUUUUUAUUAGAA
rnacentral:tRNA from 1 species